GAUGAACGCUGGCGGCGUGCCUAAUACAUGCAAGUCGAGCGAACAGACGAGGAGCUUGCUCCUCUGACGUUAGCGGCGGACGGGUGAGUAAAACGUGGAGAACCUACCUAUAAGACUGGGAUAACUUCGGGAAACCGGAGCUAAUACCGGAUAAUAUAUUGAACCGCAUGGUUCAAUAGUGAAAGACGGUUUUGCUGUCACUUAUAGAUGGAUCCGCGCCGCAUUAGCUAGUUGGUAAGGUAAAGGCUUACCAAGGCGACGAUGCGUAGCCGACCUGAGAGGGUGAUCGGCCACACUGGAACUGAGACACGGUCCAGACUCCUACGGGAGGCAGCAGUAGGGAAUCUUCCGCAAAGGGCGAAAGCCUGACGGAGCAACGCCGCGUGAGUGAUGAAGGUCUUCGGAUCGUAAAACUCUGUUAUUAGGGAAGAACAAAUGUGUAAGUAACUAUGCACGUCUUGACGGUACCUAAUCAGAAAGCCACGGCUAACUACGUG
rnacentral:rRNA from 1 species